AAGUCGUAACAAGGUUUCCGUAGGUGAACCCGCGGAAGGAUCAUUACCGAACCGUCGACACGAGUUGUUGCUGGUCCUCAAAUGGGGGCAUGUGCACACUCUGUUUACUCAUCCACUCACACCUGUGCACCCACUGUAGUUCUGUGGCUUGGGGGGCUCUGUCCUCUUUGCUGUGGUUCUAUGUCUUUACACACACACUGUAAUAAAGUUUCAUGGAAUGCAUGACGCGUCUAACGCAAUACAAUACAACUUUCAGCAACGGAUCUCUUGGCUCUCGCAUCGAUGAAGAACGCAGCGAAAUGCGAUAAGUAAUGUGAAUUGCAGAAUUCAGUGAAUCAUCGAAUCUUUGAACGCACCUUGCGCCCUCUGGCUAUUCCAGAGGGCAUGCCUGUUUGAGUAUCAUGAACACCUCAACUCUCAUGGUUUUGCCGUGAUGAGCUUGGACUUUUGGGGGUCUUGCUGGCCUGUGGUCAGCUCCUCUCAAACGAAUCAGCUUGCCAGUGUCUGGUGGCAUCACAGGUGUGAUAACUAUCUACGCUUGUGGUUUUCCACCAGGUAACCUUCAGUGAUGGAGGUUCGCUGGAGCUCAUAAAUGUCCCUCCUCAGCGAGGACAGCUUCUUGAAUGUUUGAUCUCAAAUCAGGUAGGGCUACCCGCUGAACUUAAGCAUAUCAAUAAGCGGAGGAAAAGAAACUAACAAGGAUUCCCCUAGUAACUGCGAGUGAAGCGGGAAGAGCUCAAAUUUAAAAUCUGGCGUGCCUUUGGCCGUCCGAGUUGUAGUCUGGAGAAGCGUCUUCCGUGUUGGACCGUGUAUAAGUCUCUUGGAACAGGGCGUCAUAGAGGGUGAGAAUCCCGUCUUUGACACGGACUGCCAAUGCUUUGUGAUGCGCUCUCAAAGAGUCGAGUUGUUUGGGAAUGCAGCUCAAAAUGGGUGGUAAAUUCCAUCUAAAGCUAAAUAUAGGCGAGAGACCGAUAGCGAACAAGUACCGUGAGGGAAAGAUGAAAAGCACUUUGGAAAGAGAGUUAAACAGUACGUGAAAUUGCUGAAAGGGAAACGCUUGAAGUCAGUCAUGUCUGCCAGGACUCAGCCUCGCUUCUGCUUGGUGUACUUUCUGGUUUGAUGGGCCAACAUCAAUUUCGACCGUCGGAGAAAGGCUUUGGGAACGUGGCACCUUUGGGUGUGUUAUAGCCCUUUGUUGUAUACGACGGCUGGGAUUGAGGACCGCAGCACGCCUUUAUGGCCGGGGUUCGCCCACGUACGUGCUUAGGAUGUUGGCAUAAUGGCUUUAAGCGACC
rnacentral:rRNA from 1 species